AGGGCAGAAGGACAGGGAGGGAGGGAAAGACAGAGAGAGAUUUUCCGUUUGCUGGUUCACUCCCCAGAUGGCUACAAACACCAGGGCUUGACCAGGCUGAAGCCGGGAAGCUGCACCUGCAUCUGGGUGUCCCACCUGUGUGGCAGCGGCCCAGGUCCUGGGGUCGUCUUCCGCUGCUCUCCCAGGCUCCUUAGCAAAGAGCUGGAUCAGAAGUGGAGCAGCAGGGACUCCAGCCAGCACUCUGAUGUGGAAUGCAGCCAGCAUGCCAGCCCGCUGGAGUCUUUGGGAGCUCAGAGGGCCACUGUCUGGGGAGACUCGGAGGCACAGGUGACCAGGCUGAUGCGCAAACGAUGGCUCCCUGACUCCCGGCGAUCCUGCUCUCCUUUAUCUUCCACUCCCCAGCAGGACCAGCUUGCUCAACUCACACAGUGUGUGUGUGUGUGUGUGUGUGUGUUUGUGUGUGUGUGUUUGUAUGUGUAUGUGUGCAUGUAUGUGUGUGUGUGUGUCUGUGUCUGAAAAGCCAUCCUCCCCACCCACCGGCCCAGUUGUACAGCACAGGAGACAAGAACUCGAGGUUAACUUGAAACAGACAGUGGAGUUCGGCAGGCCCAAGGAAGGUUUCUCUGCCCAACCCACUUCUCUGGAAGACGAAUGCCAAGGUAGCUCCCCUGAGAAAGGCUUGGCGAAGUGAGUGAGUGCAGUCGGUGGGAUCCAAGCAAGGCAAGUCUCCAUCUGCUCCAUCCAUUGUCUUCUACCACAGCCUGAGAGGCCGUGGUGAAGCAUCCAGUGCCAACUUCAGCGAGGAGGUGGUAGGACAGCUCCACGGCCAAUGCCAAUGCACCUGCAGCAUCUCUCCCGCCCAGCCCACCUCCACCCACGGGAGCAGGGGUCUACAGACAAUUCCAGGUUCAUCCCACAGGAAGGACAGAGCUGCCACGGCUUCUGGAUGCUUCCUCGGACAGUCCCCAAGGGGAGGGAGUCCUAGCUGCCCAUUGCAGUAACCAGCUCAAUUUUCUUAGGGGGGGUGGGGUGGGAGGCAGGCUUUCCCUCUUCCCUUCUCUUUCCUUCUUGCUUCUUGCAAUCUUCCUCAAAUAAACUAUCUGCCCCCGCGUCCUAGUCUUAGUCU
rnacentral:lncRNA from 1 species